rnacentral:rRNA from 2 species
ACGUGGGUAACCUGCCCCGAAGCGGGGGAUAACAUUUGGAAACAAGUGCUAAUACCGCAUAAUUAGUUGGAACCGCAUGGUUCCAACUUGAAAGAUGGCUCUGCUAUCACUUUGGGAUGGACCCGCGCCGUAUUAGUUAGUUGGUGAGAUAAAAGCCCACCAAGACGAUGAUACGUAGCCGACCUGAGAGGGUAAUCGGCCACAUUGGGACUGAGACACGGCCCAGACUCCUACGGGAGGCAGCAGUAGGGAAUCUUCCACAAUGGACGAAAGUCUGAUGGAGCAACGCCGCGUGAGUGAUGAAGGUUUUCGGAUCGUAAAACUCUGUUGUUAAAGAAGAACAAGUGUUAGAGUAACUGUUAACACUUUGACGGUAUUUAACCAGAAAGCCACGGCUAACUACGUGCCAGCAGCCGCGGUAAUACGUAGGUGGCAAGCGUUGUCCGGAUUUAUUGGGCGUAAAGCGAGCGCAGGCGGUUUUGUAAGUCUGCUGUGAAAGCCCUCAGCUCAACUGAGGAAGUGCAGUGGAAACUACAAAACUUGAGUACAGAAGAGGAAAGUGGAACUCCAUGUGUAGCGGUGAAAUGCGUAGAUAUAUGGAAGAACACCAGUGGCGAAGGCGGCUUUCUGGUCUGUUACUGACGCUGAGGCUCGAAAGCAUGGGUAGCGAACAGGAUUAGAUACCCUGGUAGUCCAUGCCGUAAACGAUGAAUACUAGGUGUUGGAGGGUUUCCGCCCUUCAGUGCCGCAGCUAACGCAUUAAGUAUUCCGCCUGGGGAGUACGACCGCAAGGUUGAAACUCAAAGGAAUUGACGGGGGCCCGCACAAGUGGUGGAGCAUGUGGUUUAAUUCGAUGCUACGCGAAGAACCUUACCAGCUCUUGACAUCUUCUGCCAACCCAAGAGAUUGGGCGUUCCCUUCGGGGACAGAAUGACAGGUGGUGCAUGGUUGUCGUCAGCUCGUGUCGUGAGAUGUUGGGUUAAGUCCCGCAACGAGCGCAACCCUUAUUAUUAGUUGCCAGCAUUUAGUUGGGCACUCUAGUGAGACUGCCGGUGAUAAACCGGAGGAAGGUGGGGACGACGUCAAAUCAUCAUGCCCUUUAUGAGCUGGGCUACACACGUGCUACAAUGGAUGGUACAACGAGUCGCGAAACCGCGAGGUCAAGCUAUAGUCUUAAAGCCAUUCUCAGUUCGGAUUGCAGGCUGCAACUCGCCUGCAUGAAG